rnacentral:rRNA from 1 species
CCUACGGGAGGCAGCAGUAGGGAAUCUUUCACAAUGGGCGAAAGCCUGAUGGAGCAACGCCGCGUGCAGGAUGAAGGCCUUCGGGUUGUAAACUGCUUUUAUAAGCGGAAAAUAUGAUGGUAAGUUAUGAAUAAGGAUCGGCUCACUACGUGACAGCAGCCGCGGUCAUACGUAGGAUCCGGGCAUUAUCCGGAGUGACUGGGUGUAAAGAGUUGCGUAGGUGUAAUAAUAAGUAGCUAGUGAAAUCUGGGGGCUCAACCAUUCAGACUACUAGCUAAACUGUUAAGCUCGAGACCGUUAGGGGUAAGUGGAAUUUCUAGUGUAGGAGUGAAAUCCGUAGAGAUUAGAAGGAACACCAAUAGCGUAGGCAGGUUGCUGGGACGGUUCUGACACUAAGGCACGAAAGCGUAGGGAGCAAACGGGAUUAGAUACCCUUGUAGUC